rnacentral:rRNA from 1 species
GAUGAACGCUGGCGGCGUGCUUAACACAUGCAAGUCGAACGGUGAAGCAGGAGCUUGCUCUUGUGGAUCAGUGGCGAACGGGUGAGUAACACGUGAGCAACCUGCCCCUGGCUCUGGGAUAAGCGCUGGAAACGGCGUCUAAUACUGGAUAUGUGAUGUGACCGCAUGGUCUGCAUCUGGAAAGAAUUUCGGUUGGGGAUGGGCUCGCGGCCUAUCAGCUUGUUGGUGAGGUAAUGGCUCACCAAGGCGUCGACGGGUAGCCGGCCUGAGAGGGUGACCGGCCACACUUGGACUGGGACACGGCCCAGACUCCUACGGGGGGCAGCAGUGGGGAAUAUUGCACAAUGGGCGGAAGCCUGAUGCAGCAACGCCGCGUGAGGGAUGACGGCCUUCGGGUUGUAAACCUCUUUCAGCAGGGAAGAAGCGAAAGUGACGGUACCUGCAGAAAAAGCACCGGCUAACUACGUGCCAGCCGCCGCCGUAA